AAAACAAAACAGGUUUGAACUUAUCUUGUGCUUUCAAGUAAUUACAACGAGUUUUGAAAGUGUUUCUGUUAGUUGGAAAUGGUUUUUGUUUAAUUUGGAAAGUAAUUGCAUCUGUGUAACCCUAAGUUGACAUUUUAAUUUCGAAUUGUGCUUAGGUAUCAAUUAAAAUGUGUGGUUUGUUGGUUUUUAUAGGUUUUUAAAAUGGAAAUUGAAAUUGAUUAUAGGUUUAGAACACAUUUGGAAAUGUUGAUUGAUUAUAGGUUUUGAAAUGGUUUCAUAAGUCCUAUUUGAAAGCUUAAGUUGGAAUUUCAGCUGUUUCGGGUAUAAUUUUUUGAUGAACAACUUAGGAAAGAUAUAUUAAAUUGGUAUCUGAGUAAUUGUGAAAUGAUAAGCUGUUCUAUUAAUUUAAAAAGUGAUUAAAUGAUGAUUAAGCUGCUUUGGAAGUGCUUAAAUGAGCAAAAAGUGAACUUCUGGUGCAAGGACUGAAAUGGAAAUUUUGUGCAUGCUGGUUGAUGGAGUAUACCCAAACUUUCCAUUAACUUAUGCUCAAAUUGGUGUGGGGGAGAGGAUUUAGGUUGCAUCAUUGCAUUUAACUUCGGGAAAUUUAAGUUAUCAUCUCCAUAAACCAUUUCCUCAACAGAUUUGUGAUCAUCUUUUCACAGUUCUCCCACUAACCAAGUCCAUUUAUCUUCUUAAAAUGAAUCUAUAUAUUUAUCAUGCUUAGAUUACAGGAAUUUUACACAAUUGAAAGAUGAUAUGCCAUAACAUUAGGAACCCACUGAAGAGAAUUGAUAGGUACAGUUGAAGGAAAGGAACAAUUUUAUUGAAUAUUGAGAAUAGGAUGGUGACAAAACAAAACCAGACCAAAGUGUUGAAUUUGGGUAAAUCUAAAUAUACAGAACCACUGUCAUUUUAGGCAUGUCUAAGGGAAAAUAACCAUUAUGUAGUAGAGUCAUAAGUUCUAAGGGAAAAUAACCAUUAUGUAGGUAGACUCAUAAGUUCUAAGGGAAAAAGAAAAGAAAGAAGUUCUAGGUUGACAUAACUUUUUUCUUUCUUUCAUCAUGUUGCAUGUGCACUUUUAUUUUAAGCUAAGCUUUUGUCCUCUUUUAUUAGUCCCCUGCAAUUUUAAACUGGAUUUGUUAUUUUAAGCCAAAACCAAAAACAUCUGCUUUAACAAAAUCAGAAAAAAAAAAGAUCUUAAGCCUACUGAUAUUAUGGUUUUUCCAAAAGACUAUUGCAUUUUGUAGUUAACUCUGGUACUGGAGUAGCUCAAAGCCUAGCUUUCAGUUUCUUGAUUCUUUACUGUUUGGAAACAAGUUACCUACUUCUAUAAUUGCAAAGACUACUCUUUCUUGAUCCAUUUUCCGGCUUAGCCUGUCUUAUUAGGCCUAUGGUCUAAAUAAAUAAAAAAUAUCUUUGACAAGAAAUCUUAAGCUUAACUACUUCAAUAAAAUAAGCUUACGUAUAUCUUAGAUUUGUAAUGUCAUGUUUUUUCUGCCUGCUAAUUCGAGUUAGAUUCACGUUGAAGUCACAAUGCACUUUGUUAAAUUCUCAAAACUAUGCCAAAACCAUUGUGAUGUGGAAAUGGUUUUGGUGAGUUGUACACCAAAACCAUUAGAUGUAUUUAAUGGUUUUCUUUGCUCAUGCAGGUGAAAAAAACUAAAGAGCUAGAGCCAUUGCCAUAAUUCAAAAUUGGACUAACACAACUGGAAGAGGAGGAAAGGAAUGUCACUGAUGGUGAUAAAAAUAAGAAGCAAAAAACAAAAGAGGCUAAGGGCAAAGAAAAAAAACAGCACAUAAAGAUGAGUAAAAAAAAGAAACAAGCGAAUGAAGAACAAUUGGAGGAGGAGCGGAAAGAAGAGGCUAAAAGCAAAGAAAAGAAUGAUGGAAGUUCAGAUGAGGAAAAUGCAAAGCAAAUAAAUGUGAUAAACAUUUGUUUUUGGCCCAAGAAUGUUCAAUUUAAU
rnacentral:lncRNA from 1 species